GAGAAAGUGGGAAUGUGAGGAAAGAGGGAAAGAUAAACAGGAAGGAAGGACGGAGAGAAAUUGAGGAAGGAAGACACAGUGAGGAAGAAAUGAAAGAAAGGAAGGGAGAGAAAGAGAGGAUGGAAGGAAGCAAGAGAAAGUAGGAAUGUGAGUAAGGAAGCAAGGGUCAAAAGAAAAGAGAAAUUAUGGAAGGAAAGAAGGAAGAACAAGAAAGUGAGGAAGGAAUGAAAUAUAAAAAAGGGAGGAAGGAGAGAGCGAGAGAAAGUGAGGAACGAAGUAAGGAAGGGAAAGUGAGGAAGGACAGAGAAAGUGAGGAAGGAAGAGAUAGUGAAGGAAUGAAAAGAAAGGAAGAGAGGAAGAAAGGAAGCAUGAGAAAGUAGGAAUGUGAGUAAGGGAGCAAUGGUCAAAAGAAAAGAGAGAAAUUGAGGGAGGAAGGAAGGAAGAAAGGAAACAAAAAAGCGAGGAAGGAAUGAAAUAUAAAAAAGGGAGGAAGGAGAGAGCGAGAGAAAGUGAGGAACGAAGUAAGGAAGGGAAAGUGAGGAAGGACAGAGAAAGUGAGGAAGGAAGAGAUAGUGAAGGAAUGAAAAGAAAGGAAGAGAGGAAGAAAGGAAGCAUGAGAAAGUAGGAAUGUGAGUAAGGGAGCAAUGGUCAAAAGAAAAGAGAGAAAUUGAGGGAGGAAGGAAGGAAGAAAGGAAACAAAGUAAGUGAGGAAGGAUGGGAGAAAGGAAAGAAGGAAGAACAAGAAAGCGAGGAAGGAAUGAAAUAUAAAAAGGGAAGGAAGGAGAGAGCGAGAGGAAGUGAGGAAGGAAACUGAGGGGAAAAAGAGAAAGAAAUUGAUCAAGAAAGAGAGUAAGGAAGGUGAGAGAGUAAAAAAUGAAACUGAGGAAGGAAGAAAGAAAGAAUGGAGAGAGGGAGUGGAAUGAGGGAGUCUCAUAACUGUCUAGAUAACUGCUUUUACAGACUGUCGAUAUCCCAGUGCCUUGUUGACACAGCAUUAUUCAUUUCCUAAUGCGUUGACUUUCUGUUUGAAAUAAAAC
ensembl:lncRNA